rnacentral:rRNA from 1 species
CCUACGGGUGGCUGCAGUGGGGAAUAUUGCACAAUGGGCGCAAGCCUGAUGCAGCCAUGCCGCGUGUGUGAAGAAGGCCUUCGGGUUGUAAAGCACUUUCAGCGGGGAGGAAGGCGGUGAGGUUAAUAACCUCAUCGAUUGACGUUACCCGCAGAAGAAGCACCGGCUAACUCCGUGCCAGCAGCCGCGGUAAUACGGAGGGUGCAAGCGUUAAUCGGAAUUACUGGGCGUAAAGCGCACGCAGGCGGUCUGUCAAGUCGGAUGUGAAAUCCCCGGGCUCAACCUGGGAACUGCAUUCGAAACUGGCAGGCUAGAGUCUUGUAGAGGGAGGUAGAAUUCCAGGUGUAGCGGUGAAAUGCGUAGAGAUCUGGAGGAAUACCGGUGGCGAAGGCGGCCCCCUGGACAAAGACUGACGCUCAGGUGCGAAAGCGUGGGGAGCAAACAGGAUUAGAUACCCCUGUAGUC